rnacentral:rRNA from 1 species
GACAGAGGGUGCAAACGUUGCUCGGAAUUACUGGGCGUAAAGCGCGUGUAGGCGGGCUGGUGUGUCGGGCGUGAAAUCCCUGGGCUCAACCCAGGAACUGCACUCGAAACUGCCAGUCUAGAGUGGUGGAGAGGGAAGUGGAAUUCCUGGUGUAGAGGUGAAAUUCGUAGAUAUCAGGAGGAACACCAGUGGCGAAGGCGGCUUCCUGGACACCAACUGACGCUGAGACGCGAAAGCGUGGGGAGCAAACAGG